AUUGAACGCUGGCGGCAGGCCUAACACAUGCAAGUCGAGCGGAGCGGCGGACGGGCGAGUAAUACCUAGGAAUCUGCCUGGUAGCGGGGGAUAGCGUUCGGAAACGGACGCUAAUCUCGCAUAGUAUUAGAUUAGCCGAGGUCGGAGUAGCUAGUGGGUGAGGUAAUGGCUCACAAAGGCUACGAUCCGUAACUGGUCUGAGAGGUUGAUCGGUCACACUGGAACUGAGACACGGUCCAGACUCCUACGGUAGGCAGCAGUGGGGAAUAUUGGACAAUGGGCGAAAGCCUGAUCCAGCCAUGCCGCGUGAGUGAAGAAGGUUUUCGGAUUGUAAAGCACUUUAAGUUGGGAGGCGUUACCGAAAGAAUAAGCACCGGCUAACUAUGUGCCAGCAGCCGCGGUAAUAC
rnacentral:rRNA from 1 species